UACAGAGGGGGCAAGCGUUGUUCGGAAUUACUGGGCGUAAAGGGCGCGUAGGUGGCCUUCUAAGUCGAACGGGAAAUCCCUGGGCUCAACCCAGGAACUGCGUCCGAGACUGGGAGGCUUGAAUCCGGGAGAGGGAUGCGGAAUUCCAGGUGUAGCGGUGAAAUGCGUAGAUAUCAAGAGGAACACCUGCGGCGAAGGCGGGUUGCUGGGCCGACACUGACGCUGAUGCGCGAAAGCUAGGGGAGCGAACGGG
rnacentral:rRNA from 1 species